UACUUUUAGAACACAUUGGCAAAAAAAUCGUAAAAUUUGAGUAAAUAUUGUAAAAUUUAUUUUUAAACUUGAAAGCAUCGCAAUUUGUGCAUCAAAUAUGCAAAAUAUACUAAAUUUACUUGUAGGAAAUGUAUGCGUUAUAUUUUUUAAUCACAUUUUUCACCACUAAUCACAUUUUUCUUAAUAUUGGUUAAAAUCGAGAAUUUUCGCUCAUAAGAAGUUUCUCCAUACAAAAAACGAUACAAUUUUGUUACAAAUCGAAAAAAAAUCAGUUGGUAUAUAAUCAAACAUAGCCCAAACAAUCAAACAAAUAUGAAAAUUGAUUGAUCUUAAAAAAACAACUUUUUUGACUUUUGUCGCGAAAUUUUGAUUUCUGGCCCAUAGUGCACAGUAGCGACGCUCAGUUCUGAAGGCCUGUGCCGCGAAGUGGGGCUUACUGCACGUGGUGUUUUGCAGUCGGGCGCGUGAUGGAUUCCCCCGGACACCGGGUGGUCUUCCCGUAAGGGGCCACCGGACUGUCGAUCGGCAGUGAAAGAAUCGAGGUACCUUCGGGACCCGUCUUGAAACACGGACCAAGAAGUCUAUCUUGCGCGCGAGCCAAUGGUCGUCCUCCGGAGCACCAAAGGCGCAGAAAACAUAACUUGAGUUGUGCGGGAUUACGGGCGCGGCUCUCUGCUCGUCCCUCCAUCCCCGGGUGUUGUAAUCGGCAUGCGGCUACCGGAAUCCAGGCUUCACGGCCCCCGGCACCGUGCCACAACAUACCGUGAGUGUGCAGGAUGUGACCCGAAAGAUGGUGAACUAUGCCUGAUCAGGUUGAAGUCAGGGGAAACCCUGAUGGAGGACCGAAGCAGUUCUGACGUGCAAAUCGAUUGUCAGAAUUGGGCAUAGGGGCGAAAGACCAAUCGAACCAUCUAGUAGCUGGUUCCCUCCGAAGUUUCCCUCAGGAUAGCUGGAGCACGCAACGUUUCGAAUCCUAUUCUUAUCUGGUAAAGCGAAUGAUUAGAGGCCUUAGGUUCGAAAUGAUCUUAACCUAUUCUCAAACUAUAAAUGGGUAUUAAAUUGCUGUGUCGAUAUUCUCUUCUUGGACCUUGAAAGACUGGGGCACGCAAACUCCCAACAGCUUGUACCGAAUCCGCAGCAGGUCUCCAAGGUUUAGAGUCUCUAGUCGAUAGAUUAAUGUAGGUAAGGGAAGUCGGCAAAUUAGAUCCGUAACUUUGGGAUAAGAAUUGGCUCUGAAGACUGGGAUGACUCGGGCUAUAAUCGGCAAUAUUACCAUGCGUGCCGUACCGUUGACUGAAAACAUUCUUGAUGCUACUAUUUUGGCAUUGUAAUUUUGACCACGUUUAUCUAAGCGGCUUUCAAGUCGACGUGAACGACGAUUUUAGAGUAGCUAGUAUUAAAACAUUUGACACUCUAUUUCCAAAACAAAAUUAUAUCUCCAAGACUUAAAUACAUACAUCUCUGAUUUUUAUAUUCGCCAAAUUUCCUGAAUUUUCUGAUAAAAAUAUAAAAUCAGGAUAGGUACCACUUUGGUCUCGUGACCAUAAAAAUGUAAAAAAAAACUGAUACAGGGCGGACUCGAUUAUCCGGGUUACUCCUAAAUUAUUUCACCGCGGAUAAACGAAUCACCCGGACAAUCGAGCCAUGUUUUUUUCUUUUCUUUUUGAUGUUCUUCAAUUAUAAACACAGAAGCUAACAUGCAUGACGUUGUAGUACUUAAACUCAAUGUCUGGUAUUAUUAAAAAGUGAACUAUGCCUGAUCAGGUUGAAGUCAGGGGAAACCCUGAUGGAGGACCGAAGCAGUUCUGACGUGCAAAUCGAUUGUCAGAAUUGGGCAUAGGGACGAAAGACCAAUCGAACCAUCUAGUAGCUGGUUCCCUCCGAAGUUUCCCUCAGGAUAGCUGGAGCACGCAACGUUUCGAAUCCUAUUCUUAUCUGGUAAAGCGAAUGAUUAGAGGCCUUAGGUUCGAAAUGAUCUUAACCUAUUCUCAAACUAUAAAUGG
rnacentral:ncRNA from 1 species